CCUACGGGGGGCUGCAGUGGGGAAUAUUGGACAAUGGGGGCAACCCUGAUCCAGCCAUGCCGCGUGUGUGAAGAAGGCCCUCGGGUUGUAAAGCACUUUCAGUGAGGAAGAACGCCUGGUGGUUAAUACCCAUCAGGAAAGACAUCACUCACAGAAGAAGCACCGGCUAACUCCGUGCCAGCAGCCGCGGUAAUACGGAGGGUGCGAGCGUUAAUCGGAAUUACUGGGCGUAAAGCGCGCGUAGGUGGCUUGAUAAGCCGGUUGUGAAAGCCCCGGGCUCAACCUGGGAACGGCAUCCGGAACUGUCAAGCUAGAGUGCAGGAGAGGAAGGUAGAAUUCCCGGUGUAGCGGUGAAAUGCGUAGAGAUCGGGAGGAAUACCAGUGGCGAAGGCGGCCUUCUGGACUAACACUGACACUGAGGUGCGAAAGCGUGGGUAGCAAACAGGAUUAGAUACCCCAGUAGUC
rnacentral:rRNA from 1 species